rnacentral:rRNA from 1 species
GUAUAAGAGACAGCAGCAGCCGCGGGAAAACGUAGGGUGCAAGCGUUAAUCGGAAUUACUGGGCGUAAAGCGUGCGCAGGCGGUUAUAUAAGACAGAUGUGAAAUCCCCGGGCUCAACCUGGGAACUGCAUUUGUGACUGUAUAGCUAGAGUACGGCAGAGGGGGAUGGAAUUCCGCGUGUAGCAGUGAAAUGCGUAGAUAUGCGGAGGAACACCGAUGGCGAAGGCAAUCCCCUGGGCCUGUACUGACGCUCAUGCACGAAAGCGUGGGGAGCAAACAGGAUUAGAUACCCCUGUAGUCCCUGUCUCUUAUAA